AUUGGGGGGAAGAAGAAGGAGGUGAAGAAAGAAACCGGCCUCGGUUUGACCAAGAAGAAGGAUGAGAAUUUUGGGGAGUGGUAUUCGGAGGUUGUUGUUUUCGGUGAGAUGAUUGAAUACUAUGACAUAUCUGGUUGUUAUAUUUUGAGGCCAUGGACAAUGGCAAUAUGGGAGACCAUGCAAGCAUUCUUCGAUGCAGAAAUAAAGAAAAUGAAGAU